rnacentral:rRNA from 1 species
UAUUUUUUAAUUAAAUAUUUUUAGGUUUAUUAUUUAAUAAAAAUAAUUUUUAUUUAAGUAUCUUUAAGAAAUAAAUAUGAAUUUUAUAGGGAAUAGUACUGUGAAGGAAUUAUAUUUAAUAUAUUUGAAGUAAUUAUGUUUUUUUUACCUUUUGUAUCAGGGUUUAUUUAAUUUGUUAAUUUAUUUUUUCUUUCUCGAAAUUUCAAGAGCUAUAUUCUUAUGUUAUUUAAUGUUAUGUAUACCAAAAUUGGAAAAACAUCAAUACAUAUGUCUCCUAAGAUUUGUCCGAUAAAUAAACAUUCCAUCAUACAAGCCGAUAAACUGUAGUAUUCCGCCUCCGAACUCGCAAUAGCAACUGCUCCUUGUUUCUUGGAGCUCCAAACUAUCAAAUUUUGAGGAUAGUAAUCCCCAUCUUUUAUUUUGUAAAAAUUAUUUUUGUAAUGGUUUUUAUUUUUUUUGUUUUUAGAUUAUUAUUAAAAUAAAUAAAGUAAUUCUUAUUUUGUUGAAAAAAUGAUAAAAUUAGUAUUUUUAAAAAAUAAAUUAUAGUAAUUCGGCAAAUAUAAAUUUCACCUGUUUAACAAAAACAUGGUCUUUUGUUUAUAUAAAAGAUCUGGCCUGCCCCAUGUUAUUAAAUGGCUGCAGUAUAUUGACUGUACAAAGGUAGCAUAAUCACUUGUCUCUUAAUUGGAGUCUGGAAUGAAUGGUUGGAUGAAAAUUUUUCUUUCUUUAUUUUUUACAAAAAAUUUAAUCUUUAAAUUAAAAAGUUUAAAUAUUUAUAUAGGACGAGAAGACCCUAUAGAACUUUAUUCUCCCAAAAUAAUUAUUUUUUUGGAAAUAAUUUUUUAUUAUUUGAUGGGGAAUUUUGUUGGGGUGACAAAAAAAAUUUUAUAACUUUUUUUAUCUUUUUCAUUUAUAUAUGUAUUUUUGAUCCUUUAUUAUGGAUAAUAUGAUUAAGUUACCUUAGGGAUAACAGCGUUAUUGUUUUAGAGAGUUCAUAUUGAUAAAGCAGUUUGCGACCUCGAUGUUGGAUUAAAAUUAGUCUUAGGGGCAGAAUAUUAAUUGACUGGGUCUGUUCGACCUUUAAAUUUUUACAUGAUCUGAGUUCAGACCGGCGUGAGCCAGGUUGGUUUCUAUCCUUAUUUUUCUGAAAAGCUUUAGUACGAGAGGACCAUGCUUUGGGAAUAUUUUUUUGGUUUUGAUUAUUAU